rnacentral:rRNA from 2 species
GUCUAUGGCUACACCACCCUGAACAUGCCAGAUCUCAUCUGAUCUCAGAAGCUGGGCAGGGUGGGGCCUGGUUAGUACUUGCAUGGAAGACUGCCUGGAAAUACUGGGUGCUGUAGACU